UACGUAGGGUGCGAGCGUUGCCCGGAUUUAUUGGGCGUAAAGGGCGCGUAGGCGGCUGUGCACGUCACAUGUGAAAUCGCCUGGCUCAACUGGGCGGGGUCAUGUGAUACGGGCUGGCUGGAGGCAGGCAGGGGAGAACGGAAUUCCUGGUGUAGCGGUGAAAUGCGCAGAUAUCAGGAGGAACACCGGUGGCGAAGGCGGUUCUCUGGGCCUGUUCUGACGCUGAGGAGCGAAAGCGUGGGGAGCGAACAGG
rnacentral:rRNA from 1 species